rnacentral:rRNA from 1 species
UGGGGGAUAUUGCGCAAUGGGGGAAACCCUGACGCAGCAACGCCGCGUGAAGGAAGAAGGUCUUCGGAUUGUAAACUUUUGUCUUUAGGGACGAUAAUGACGGUACCUAAGGAGGAAGCCACGGCUAACUACGUGCCAGCAGCCGCGGUAAUACGUAGGUGGCAAGCGUUGUCCGGAUUUACUGGGUGUAAAGGGUGCGUAGGCGGGACUGCAAGUCAGGUGUGAAAAUUAUGGGCUCAACCCAUAACCUGCACUUGAAACUGUAGUUCUUGAGUGAUGGAGAGGUAAGUGGAAUUCCCAGUGUAGCGGUGAAAUGCGUAGAUAUUGGGAGGAACACCAGUGGCGAAGGCGACUUACUGGACAUUAACUGACGCUGAGGCACGAAAGCAUGGGGAGCAAACA